rnacentral:rRNA from 1 species
GAUGAACGCUGGCGGUAUGCUUAACACAUGCAAGUCGAACGGACUCUUCGGAGUUAGUGGCGGACGGGUGAGUAACGCGUGAGAAUCUGGCUUUGGGUUCGGGACAACCACUGGAAACGGUGGCUAAUACCGGAUGUGCCGAGAGGUAAAAGAGAAAUUGCCUGAAGAUGAGCUCGCGUCUGAUUAGUUAGUUGGUGAGGUAAAGGCUCACCAAGGCAGCGAUCAGUAGCUGGUCUGAGAGGAUGACCAGCCACACUGGGACUGAGACACGGCCCAGACUCCUACGGGAGGCAGCAGUGGGGAAUUUUCCGCAAUGGGCGAAAGCCUGACGGAGCAAUACCGCGUGAGGGAAGAAGGCUCUUGGGUUGUAAACCUCUUUUCUUAGGGAAGAACAAAAUGACGGUACCUAAGGAAUCAGCAUCGGCUAACUCCGUG